GCGCCAUCUGCAAGGUCGUCUGUGUUAUCGCGUUUAUUGUUUACGUCGUGGGUGGUCGUGUUGGUCGCGCGGUGAAUGACAUGUUCGUGGUUGCUGUGCCAACUAUUCGAGAGUCCUACAUAUGAGUGGUGUGGUUUUGGUGUUCGGGGAUGCAAAAAUCAUGUUCGUUCACCAUCGACGGCAGGCGUUUCUACCACAAGAUUCAAUAGGAGAGUGCGCGAAAACGAAUGUGGUUCAAAGCACUCGGUUAUUAGAUGUAGCAGUCGUGUGGUAUGUGCUGAGCUCAUUUUGCUGCCGAUGACUACGAAGAUGCCGUAGAAGGCGAAUUGCGAAGACGUCCGAAGCACACUGAUGCUCAGUACCCAGUGAUUUUGCUUCACCGAGGUGACGAGUUCAACACAACGUCUUAAGUAUGUACAGGCGUCACACACGUAUAAGUUAUAAUAUAGCGACGACGUAUUCCAUUUAACUUAUGUUAUCCUUCUUGUCCCGUACUCAACUUUGUCAACAUCAACAAAUUUAAUUUUAGGGGCCUUCCAGUGUUGAAGUGGCGCAAGACUGCUUCGUAUGUGUGAUCCAGGCACUCAAGUUGACAUGACAGAAAUAACUGAAAGCAGUCUUUGGACAGGUGCAGAACAUUAGUAUGACGUCAACAAGAGGAGAAGAAACCGAUGAGAACUACUAGCAUGUUUGAAGGAGAUGCAUCCUCUACACUUGAAUACCCAGUGCAACAGCAAACGUUCAUUGUCUUUGAAGCCGCAACUACUGGAAUUGUUCAAUGUGUGUCAGAGCUGCAGUGAGCCAUGCAAGGUUACCACAUCAUAUUGGUCCCAAAAUUUGCAGAGUUCCCCUAUCUCGGACGCAGCUGUCAUUUCUCUUUAUUGCUCUUCCGAUCCUACCUUCUCAGAAAUGAAUAUGGUUCACCAUACACUGCAUGGGCACUGCCUUUCUCUGCUCAUGCUUUCGGUUUCUUAUUCUGUUGAAUAAAUCUUCACUUGAGUUUGCAGCCAUUAUGCUGUCUACUGUGUUUGCCCCUCAUCUAUAUUGAUGUGCUCUAACGGUAUAGCACAUCA